rnacentral:rRNA from 1 species
CAGCCGCCGCGGUAAUACGUAGGUGGCAAGCGUUGUCCGGAAUUAUUGGGCGUAAAGGGCUCGCAGGCGGUUUCUUAAGUCUGAUGUGAAAGCCCCCGGCUCAACCGGGGAGGGUCAUUGGAAACUGGGAAACUUGAGUGCAGAAGAGGAGAGUGGAAUUCCACGUGUAGCGGUGAAAUGCGUAGAGAUGUGGAGGAACACCAGUGGCGAAGGCGACUCUCUGGUCUGUAACAGACGCUGAGGAGCGAAAGCGUGGGGAGCGAACAGGAUUAGAUACCCCUGUAGUCCCUGUCUCUUAUAC